UACGUAGGGGGCAAGCGUUGUCCGGAAUCAUUGGGCGUAAGGCGCGUGUAGGCGGCCCGGUAAGUCCGCUGUGAAAGUCCAGGGCUCAACCCUGGAAUGCCGGUGGAUACUGUCGGGCUCGAGUCCGGAAGAGGUGAGUGGAAUUCCUGGUGUAGCGGUGAAAUGCGCAGAUAUCAGGAGGAACACCAAUGGCGAAGGCAGCUCACUGGUACGGUACUGACGCUGAGACGCGAAAGCGUGGGGAGCAAACAGG
rnacentral:rRNA from 1 species